rnacentral:rRNA from 1 species
UGGGGAAUAUUGCGCAAUGGGCGAAAGCCUGACGCAGCAACGCCGCGUGCGGGAUGAAGGCCUUCGGGUUGUAAACCGCUUUCAGCAGGGACGAAACUGACGGUACCUGCAGAAGAAGCCCCGGCUAACUACGUGCCAGCAGCCGCGGUAAUACGUAGGGGGCUAGCGUUAUCCGGAUUCAUUGGGCGUAAAGCGCGCGUAGGCGGGCUGUUAAGUCAGGUGUGAAAACCGGGGACUCAACCCGCGGCCUGCACCUGAAACUGGCAGCCUCGAGUCUGGUAGAGGAAAGUGGAAUUCCCAGUGUAGCGGUGAAAUGCGCAGAUAUUGGGAGGAACACCAGUGGCGAAGGCGGCUUUCUGGGCCACGACUGACGCUGAGGCGCGAAAGCUAGGGGAGCAAACA